ACACACACACACACACACAUACACACACACACGCACACACAUACACACAGACAUUUGUUCAGUUUUCGAUUCUGAGUCAAUAUGUAUACAUCAAGGUGGGUUUUCGAGCUUUAAAUAAAAAAAGUUCAAUUUUAGAGCAGGAUUAUAGCCUUACCUCAGUGAGGAAGGCAAAAUGGCUUUGACCACAUUUACUGGUCCAAAAUUGUGAAUCAAAAAUAGAAUUUUCGUCUCCGACCCAACGGCUACAAAUCUGAAAUAUGAAAAUUGUGAGUUUACGAGCGGUUUUCCAGUGAUAGACGGCACAAAUUUAUAAAAGCGGAUACAUACAUCGCACAAGUAUUUCAUAAAAGGAAUUCUCGAAAAUCAGGCUUUGAGUUCCGGGUUACGGGCCAAAAUUCAAUCGAAAGAGCGCAUCAAAACCUUCCAAAUAGUAAUAGGAUUUUUUGUGGGACGAUUCCCAGUCGUGCACGAUUUUUUAAAAGAUUUCUGAAUAAAGCGUCUUUCCAAAAGCAAACCUUAAAGAUUUCUUUUGUAAGUUUUUGCUAAAAUUGGCAUUAAUCUUUUAAAACGUUGUCGUCAAACAUCUGUCAAACAUCUGUACAAAAAUUUCCAAUAUUCUAGGUUCGCCAUCUUGGCCGCCAUCUUGGAUUGCACAUUCUCUGAGUACUUUGGAGUAUUAUAUGGCUCAUAUUCGAGUUCAGCGACCCCAGAUUAGUUAAAUUUGACUAGUUGAUUGAACUUAAAAAUCCUUUUAUGGUGUUUUUUCCAUUCUGCCGCCAUAUUAGACGCCAUCUUGAAUAUCUCGCUUCCCUUUGAGACUCAGGAAAAUCAACAGGCAAAUUUGGAUUCUGCAGAACUGGAACUGACUCGGGCUGCUUCAAACUUGAAAGGUAUGUUGGCAGAACUCGAUGAAAAUAUCUAAUCUUUUAUCUAACAGGAUGAUUUAUUUUUUGCUGACCCCGCCCGUCCAUUCUCCUCGGCCACCAAAUCUUCAUCACCAAAAGAGGCCUAAGCCAGUACGUCAUGCUGAACAUCUCUUAUAAGUACUCUUCCGACGGGGCGAAACUUCUUCAAGAUGGCCGCCUAAACCGGAUGGAAUCCCUGCGUCCAUCCCGAUUAAACUUCACGAUCUACUAGGAAGCCGUUAAUUCCAACUGCAGCUCGUUGUUCUUGGAAGCAGUCGAUCGCAACGAGAAGAAACCCCUGACGAUACGGGAUGGGAUGCCGCUGAUUUGUACUCAAAAGUGAAGAAUAGCACCUGCUCGCAUCACAUCCGUUUGAGCGCUCGUAGGGAGGUGAACCAGCUCGACGACUUUAUGUACAGUCAGAAGGAUGACGUGGGAGAGAAGCCGAAGCUGGUGGCUCGCAAGUCGGUGCGGCUGGUGUCACGCCAUUCGGACUAUGGGCCCGUUCCUCAGGCUGCCGACGCAGGUUACGCACCUGAAUCAAAACUGUUGUACGACUGCAAAAGAAAUGCCCCGGCCUGACCGCCUGCUUCCGACGAGCGGCGGCUGACACUCGUUUCCGGUAACUGGAUCAGCAGGUUUAUCUGGAAAGCUGGAUGCCCUGGCGCAGAAGGCCAUCCAGAUCGUGGGGAUGAACCCAGGUCAUCGUAUAAAAAUUGCCAGAAACAGCCAUCUAACACGGUUAAUCAAAUCAAAGAUCUGCUGAAAAUUGUUAUAUUUCUAAAGCAUACACACUCAGAUUUUUAUGCCGAACUUCGGCAGAAUUCUGCCGAAAUCAGAACAACUUAUCGCUCGGCAGAAAAAUAUGCCGAAUCUCGGCAAAAUGUGAGUCAUUGUACCGAUUACUCGGUGAAAAAUGACAGUUAAUUUGCCGAAGUUCGGCAUUUUUCUGCCGAAGAAAUCAGUUGUUCUGUUUUCGGCAGAAUUCUGCCGAGCUCGAAAUCCAAAAAUGGGUGUGUACAGAAUAUAUAAUUUAAAAAAUAAAUAAAUAUGUUUUUGCCUAGAAAUUUCUUCUUCUUUUUCUUUUUGGAAUGGAAAAUAUUCAUGGUUCAACGGUCGAUUCAAAAGCAAAAAAACGAGGUGGCUGCGUACUGGUGAUUUUGGCAGGCAUGCGUUACGGCGUUACGUUUGCGAUAUCGAAAAUCACCGUUUGCGAUUUUGGAAGCAAUGCUUCCUGCUGACAGGUGGAAACGGAGAUUUGCGAUUUUUAAAGCAAAUCGGAAGCAAAGUUUGCGAUUCCGCAAACCGGAUUUUGUUCCGUGUGGAGGGUCGAUUUAGUCUAGAUCGAUCAAAAACUGGCCUGUUACACGAUUUGCUUCUAGACACGAGAAAUGAGCAUCUUUUUUUGAAUUCGUGCCUUGGCCAAAAAAUUGGCGUGACGGGACAACGCAAACUUGCGUCAGACGUAACUCUGGAUCCUUUUGGCCAAUUUUCGAUUUCUAAUAAGCAUUUUAAGGUUCCACACAAGCCGGAAAUUUCGCCUAACUUUUUUUUUGCGAAAAUCGCUGUAACUCUUUAUUAGUUUUGUCAAACUCUUAUAUUUUUACGUCUACGGGAAGAGAAUUGUCUGACGAACAAAUCAACACCAAAACGGAGAAAAUCUGUCCAGUAUUUUCUUCACGACGCUGGAAUCAAUAAGGUUCAAUCGGUGAAAAAAAUAAAAUAGUAUGGGAUUCAAAAUCUUCAACUCUUUGAAGCUCCAUUGCGCUGAAACGGCAUUAUAGAUCUAGCUCAUAUUUAUAUCUCCGGGAAGAAGACAUUUCAAGGAAUAAAAUGGUUCCUCCAGACUGCCGGAAUCCCAUUCCUAAGUGGCCACCACCUUGAAAUAAAAAGAUUCCGUGUUCCGGGCACAAGCCGCCAUGUCGGCAUCCUUGCCAAGUUCGCAUUUUGUAUCAUGCACUGUGGAAAAAAAUAAUGCAAUAUCGCAUUGGCUUCCCACGUUGUGCUUUAUUUCAACAAAAAUCAUACUGUUAUGGUAUUGCAGUCUUGGGGGCAAUAAAAUAAAUCAUUAGACGAAAA